rnacentral:ribozyme from 14 species
UGCCCACGCGAGCUGUGAUGGGUGCAGUGCUCGAGUGCGAUGGCUAAAUGAGCGUCACGAAUUCGUCCACGGCAUGGUCAC